UACGGGGGGGGUAAGCGUUGUUCGGAAUUACUGGGUGUAAAGGGUUCGUAGGCGGUGUGGCAAGUCGGGAGUGAAAUUUCUGGGCUCAACUCAGAGACUGCUUCCGAAACUGCUGUGCUUGAGUGUGGGAGAGGCGCGUGGAAUUGCAGGUGUAGCGGUGAAAUGCGUAGAUAUCUGCAGGAACACCCGUGGCGAAAGCGGCGCGCUGGACCACUACUGACGCUGAGGAACGAAAGCUAGGGGAGCAAACAGG
rnacentral:rRNA from 1 species